CCAAAUCUCAAUCGUUAGUUACGGUGAAGAAAAACCACUUGUUCUAGGCCAAUCUGACGACGUCUACGCGAAAAACCGUCGUGCGGUUCUAGCAUACUAAUUCGAGGUAAACCUCAUGUUCAGUAACACCAAGCGUGCUGUUACG
rnacentral:sRNA from 1 species